UCUUCAUCAUCAUCCUCCUCCUCCUCCUCUUCAGUUCCGUUGCUGCCUCUCUCUAUAUCUCACUCUCCCUAAAGCGCGCGCCUUUGGGCCGAUCCGGUCGGUGUAAGAGCCGUUUUACCUCAAAAUCUACUUCGUUUACGAAGUAGACACCCUAGGAGGACGGCGCAGGCCCGGGGCUCGCUGAUAUCCCCUUCGCUAUAAAGCCGACUGUCCCGUUUUAUAUUUCUUUCCUUCUCGAAGCUCGCUUCGGGAGGAGAAGGAAUAUUAGAACGGCGAUGGUUCGCCGGCGAGGGUGAUCGGCGGGUACCUUGAGCGCAUACUCUUGUACCCGAAAGAUGGUGAUCUAUGCUUGGCCAGGAUGAAGCCAGAGGAAACUCUGGUGGAAGUCCGAAGCGAUUCUGACGUGCAAAUCG
rnacentral:rRNA from 1 species